AUUGAACGCUGGCGGCAGGCUUAACACAUGCAAGUCGAACGAGUGGCGGACGGGUGAGUAAUGUAUGGGGAUCUGCCUGAUGGAGGGGGAUAACUACUGGAAACGGUAGCUAAUACCGCAUACCAUCAGAUGAACCCAUAUGGGAUUAGCUGGUCGGUAGGGUAACGGCUUACCUAGGCGACGAUCCCUAGCUGGUCUGAGAGGAUGAUCAGCCAAACUGGGACUGAGACACGGCCCAGACUCCUACGGGAGGCAGCAGUGGGGAAUAUUGCACAAUGGGCGCAAGCCUGAUGCAGCCAUGCCGCGUGUAUGAAGAAGGCCUGCGGGUUGUAAAGUACUUUCAGUCGGGAGGCGUUACCCGCAGAAGAAGCACCGGCUAACUCCGUGCCAGCAGCCGCGGUAAUUC
rnacentral:rRNA from 1 species